UUUAUUCUCCUAAUCAUUGAUCUUCGCCUUGGAGUCAUAAAAGUCAUGGACUCGAAACGUAAAGAAUAUGCGGAAUGGGCGGACAUGGCUGCCAUCCUCCAGAGGGCUUGGAAACGGUUCAUCAAUACUGUUCCGGGUAAAUGGAAACUGGAGCUUACAUUUGAAGAUUACCCUUGUAUGAGGCAGGAACAAGGGAAUAACUUAUGUGGAUACUACGUCUGCACCUUCAUUCGUGACAUGGCCUGUCCCAAGGGUGGGGAUGCCCGUAUAC